ACCACUCAACGGGUAAAAUCUGAUAUAUACAAUUUAUUUACAUAUUAAUAUAUUAUACAAAUCUUCUUUGUAAGAUGAAAUGUUUUUUUUUUUUUAAUGAUUUUAUUCAAUCAGCUGAUCAUAUGGUAAUGAGAUACACUACAUGUCAUACUAUGUAUAUGCAAGCAUAAGAACAUGCAUCAAAAGACGAGAAAGUCGAAGUUUCGAUUGGACAAUACACAAAUAUAGAACUUCAAAUGGAAACUAAAAUAAAUCGAAGAAAAUAUAUAUGCUUGCUUAUUUUUAUGUAACCUCGCCAACCAAAAGGAGAAGUGAGGAUAGUGGGAGAAGGUGGGAUGUGAUGAAUUAAAACUCAAUAUUCUUAAAGCUUAAUUAAAGUGAAUGAUUAAGCUUAAGGGAAUAAUUAUGAUUGCAUGGUAGGAAAGAAAAACUUGGGAGCCGAAUAAAUUGGACCGCUGACUCUUCUUCUCCUUUGCAUAAAUCUUCUAGAUGUUUAUUUAUUUUUGCUCAACUUUUCUUUUUUUCUUCUUCUUCAUAUUUUAACCUAUAAACAAAAAACAUAUUUAACCACGUAGAACCCACAACUACUGUUGUUUUCAUAAAUUUAAUUUAAUUAUCGGACCCAUCGGUCCAGAUAUAACACUAAUAUAGAUCACGAGAAAGCAUAUGAUUC
rnacentral:lncRNA from 1 species